rnacentral:rRNA from 1 species
AUUGAACGCUGGCGGCAUGCCUUACACAUGCAAGUCGAACGGCAGCACGGGAGCAAUCCUGGUGGCGAGUGGCGAACGGGUGAGUAAAGUAUCGGAACGUGCCCAGUCGUGGGGGAUAACGUAGCGAAAGUUACGCUAAUACCGCAUACGAUCUAUGGAGGAAAGCGGGGGAUCGCAAGACCUCGCGCGAUUGGAGCGGCCGAUAUCAGAUUAGGUAGUUGGCUGGGUAAAGGCUCACCAAGCCGACGAUCUGUAGCGGGUCUGAGAGGACGACCAGCCACACUGGGACUGAGACACGGCCCAGACUCCUACGGGAGGCAGCAGUGGGGAAGUUUGGACAAUGGGCGAAAGCCUGAUCCAGCCAUGCCGCGUGCAGGAUGAAGGCCUUCGGGUUGUAAACUGCUUUUGUACGGAACGAAAAGGUUUGGGCUAAUAAGCUGAGCUCAUGACGGUACCGUAAGAAUAAGCACCGGCUAACUACGUGCCAGCCGCCGCAGUAA